GGUCAGGUGACCUAGUGGUCAUGGCAUCUGCCUGGUAAGCGGAAGGUCGUGGGUUCGAUUCCCAUCCCUUGACACU
rnacentral:tRNA from 1 species